rnacentral:rRNA from 1 species
GACGAACGCCGGCGGCGUGCCUAACACAUGCAAGUCGAACGAGGUCCAUGCAGUGGCAACACUGCGGAAGACCUAGUGGCGAACGGGUGAGUAACACGUGAGGAACUUGCCCCGGAGACCGGGAUAACCCUCCGAAAGGAGAGCUAAUACCGGAUGUCCUCACCGAGUCGCAUGGCUUGGUGAGGAAAUGGAUUCCGCCCCGGGAGAGCCUCGCGGCAUAUCAGCUUGUUGGCGGGGUAACGGCCCACCAAGGCAUCGACGGGUAGCUGGUCUGAGAGGACGAUAAGCCCCACGGGACUGGGACACGGCCCAGACUCCUACGGGAGGCAGCAGUGGGGAAUCUUGCGCAAUGGGCGAAAGCCUGACGCAGCAACGCCGCGUGCGGGAUGAAGGCCCUCGGGUUGUAAACCGCUUUCAGUGGGGACGAACCAAGACGGUACCCACAGAAGAAGCCCCGGCCAACUACGUGCCAGCAGCCGCCGUAACAC